GACGAACCGUGCGAACGUUGUUCGGAAUCACUGGGCUUAAAGGGCGCGUAGGCGGUCGAUCACGUCCGAGGUGAAAUCUUUCGGCUUAACCGGAAAAGGGCCUUGGAUACGAAUCGGCUGGAGGGAGGUAGGGGUCGUUGGAACUUCCAGUGGAGCGGUGAAAUGCGUUGAUAUUGGAAGGAACGCCGGUGGCGAAAGCGAACGACUGGACCUUUUCUGACGCUGAGGCGCGAAAGCUAGGGGAGCAAACGGG
rnacentral:rRNA from 1 species